rnacentral:rRNA from 1 species
UACGGAGGUGGCAAGCGUUGUCCGGAAUUAUUGGGCGUAAAGCGCGCGCAGGCGGUCCUUUAAGUCUGAUGUGAAAGCCCACGGCUCAACCGUGGAGGGUCAUUGGAAACUGGGGGACUUGAGUGCAGAAGAGGAAAGCGGAAUUCCACGUGUAGCGGUGAAAUGCGUAGAGAUGUGGAGGAACACCAGUGGCGAAGGCGGCUUUCUGGUCUGUAACUGACGCUGAGGCGCGAAAGCGUGGGGAGCAAACAGG